CCAGAGGCCACCACCCGGGUCUGCCUGUCUGUCCUAGAUGAGCACACGCUGGCCGUGCUGACCAAGGAGGACGCUCUGUACUUCGGGAGUCUGGAAUUCCUGUCCAACUCCAUCAUCCAGGCCUGGCUCCCCUAGCUGCCCGAGGGCUCCGUCUGGUUCCCAGAGGCGGUGCUGAUGUUCUCCGGGGUGGGGAUGCUGGACAUCCUG
rnacentral:lncRNA from 1 species